rnacentral:rRNA from 1 species
UAGGGAAUAUUGGUAAUGUGCGAAAGCGCGAACCAGCAACGCCGCGUGCACGAUGAAGGCCUUCGGGUCGUAAAGUGCUUUUAGAGAGGAUGAGGAAGGACAGUACUUUCUGAAUAAGCCUCGGCUAACUACGUGCCAGCAGCCGCGGUAAAACGUAGGAGGCAAGCGUUAUCCGGAUUUACUGGGCGUAAAGCGCAUGCAGGUGGUUUUGUAAGUUGGAUGUGAAAGCUCCUGGCUUAACUGGGAGAGGUCGUUCAAAACUACAAGACUUGAGAGUGGUAGAGGAAAAUGGAAUUCCGGGUGUAGUGGUGAAAUGCGUAGAUAUCCGGAGGAACACCAGUGGCGAAAGCGGUUUUCUGGACCAAUUCUGACACUCAGAUGCGAAAGCUAAGGUAGCAAACG